UACGGGGGGGGCAAGCGUUACUCGGAAUUAUUGGGCGUAAAGGGCGCGUAGGCGGUCGUGUGCGUCGGAGGUGAAAUCCCCAGGCUUAACCUGGGAACUGCCUCCGAUACGGCAUGGCUUGAGUCCGGGAGAGGGGAGCAGAAUUCCCAGUGUAGCGGUGAAAUGCGUAGAUAUUGGGAGGAAUACCAGUGGCGAAGGCGGCUCCCUGGACCGGUACUGACGCUGAGGAGCGAAAGCGUGGGGAGCGAACAGG
rnacentral:rRNA from 1 species